rnacentral:rRNA from 1 species
UACAGAGGUCUCAAGCGUUGUUCGGAUUCAUUGGGCGUAAAGGGUGCGUAGGCGGCGCGGUAAGUCGGGUGUGAAAUCUCGGAGCUUAACUCCGAAACUGCAUUCGAUACUGCCGUGCUUGAGGACUGGAGAGGAGACUGGAAUUUACGGUGUAGCGGUGAAAUGCGUAGAUAUCGUAAGGAAGACCAGUGGCGAAGGAGCCGGG